UCAAGUAAGUUAUAGCAGUCUCUAAAAUUCUCAAACAAGAAGAAGAUCAUAAAAUGAAGAGCCUUCAAAUGCUUGUUGCUUUUAUCCUUGUUCUUUUCCUUUCCAAAGGAGGAGAGGUAAUGGCAACUCGAGUUUGCAUAAGGGGUGAAAAAAUGGCGGAUUGCAAAGAAAAUGCAUGUAAUGAUCUUUGUGUGAAAAAAUAUGGCAGCAAAGAUGGAGCUCGUGGGUACUGUAUUGUUGCAGGGGCUUGCACUUGUGUUUUUCCUUGUCCACCUUAAUGUUUAGCUUUUUGUGACAAAUUAAUUACAAAUAAAAUCUCUCAAAACAUAUUAUUGUUA